rnacentral:rRNA from 1 species
UACGUAGGGAGCAAGCGUUGUCCGGAAUCAUUGGGCGUAAAGCGCGCGUAGGUGGCCCCAUAAGUCCGCUGUGAAAGUCAAAGGCUCAACCUUUGAAAGCCGGUGGAUACUGUGGGACUAGAGUACGGAAGAGGCGAGUGGAAUUCCUGGUGUAGCGGUGGAAUGCGCAGGAUAUCAGGAGGAACACCAAUAGCGAAGGCAGCUCGCUGGGACGUUACUGACACUGAGGCGCGAAAGCGUGGGGAGCGAACAGGAUUAGAUACCCGGUGUAAGCUCCA